GGCUCCAGCCGGCGGCCACGGCCCCGCAAGAGGGGCUGAGGAAACUCCGCCCUCCCCGCGGCAGCCGGGCCCCGCAAGGGGGCGCGGGUGACACCCGCGGCAACGGCACAGAAACGGCACGGCCCCAGGGUGUGUCUAUGAAGCCGAUAGGCCUCCCGGGCGACCGGUGGGCAGCAAACGGCAGAGGAACCCUGGGGAUGCGGUGAAACGGCCGUCCCCGGCGGAGCAAGGCCCUCCAGGCUGUGAGGCGCCGCGCGAUGCCUGGGGGUGGAUCCGCAUAGCCAGAUGCCGCCGCAGUACAGAAGGCGGGUUAUGGCUGGGGCC
rnacentral:RNase_P_RNA from 1 species